CCUACGGGUGGCAGCAGUGGGGGAUAUUGCACAAUGGGGGAAACCCUGAUGCAGCGACGCCGCGUGAGGGAAGAAGGUCCUCUGGAUGGUAAACUCCUUUAGCCAGGGAGGAAGACGACGGUACCUGACCAUGAAGCCCCGGCUAACUACGUGCCAGCAGCCGCGGUGAUACGUAGGGGGCAAGCGUUAUCCGGAUUUACUGGGGGUAAAGGGAGCGUAGACGGGAGGGCAAGUCUGGAGUGAAAUGCACGGGCCUAAACCGUGGACUGCUCUGGAAACUGGAGGGCUGGAGUGCAGGAGAGGUAAGCGGAAUUCCUAGUGUAGCGGUGAAAUGCGUAGAUAUUAGGAGGAACACCAGUGGCGAAGGCGGCGUACUGGACUGUAACUGACGCUGAGGCUCGAAAGUGUGGGGAGCAAACAGGAUUAGAUACCCGUGUAGUC
rnacentral:rRNA from 1 species